rfam:Clostridium phytofermentans ISDg, complete genome.
GGAGAGUUGCCCGAGCGGUUUAAGGGGCUGGUCUUGAAAACCAGUGAUUCCGAAAGGGACCGUGGGUUCGAAUCCCACAUUCUCCG